rnacentral:rRNA from 1 species
UGACGAGUGGCGGACGGGUGAGUAAUGUCUGGGAACUAGCCCGAUGGCGGGGGAUAACUACUGGAAACGGUAGCUAAUACCGCAUAACGUCGCAAGACCAAAGUGGGGGACCUUCGGGCCUCACGCCAUCGGAUGUGCCCAGAUGGGAUUAGCUAGUAGGUGGGGUAACGGCUCACCUAGGCGACGAUCCCUAGCUGGUCUGAGAGGAUGACCAGCCACACUGGAACUGAGACACGGUCCAG